CAGCAGCCGCGGGAAUACGGAGGAUCCAAGCGUUAUCCGGGAUCAUUGGGUUUAAAGGGUCCGCAGGCGGUUUAGUUAGUCAGUGGUGAAAGCCCAUCGCCCAACGGUGGAACGGCCAUUGAUACUGCUGAACUUGAAUUAUUAGGAAGUAACUAGAAUAUGUAGUGUAGCGGUGAAAUGCUUAGAGAUUACAUGGAAUACCAAUUGCGAAGGCAGGUUACUACUAAUUGAUUGACGCUGAUGGACGAAAGCGUGGGGAGCGAACAGGAUUAGAUACCCGUGUAGUCCCUGUCUCUUAUAC
rnacentral:rRNA from 1 species